CUCGAAAUAAAAAGAUUUACUUAAUAAAUUAUAAUAUUAACGUUGUAUAGUUAUGUAUUUAGUAUUGAGUGGUAGUGAUAUGUUUAUCGGUUUUUAUGGUAGCUAGUUUAUUGAUUUAAGAUGUUUAAGUAUUAAUGAUAUUAAUAUAAUUAAUGUAUUUAUUUAAUAUUAUUUAUUAUAUAAGGGAUAAGCUUUAUAUAAUUAAGUAGAAUAAUUUUAAAGUGUAUUAAAUAAGUGUUUAAGUAGAGUUAAUAGUGCUUUUCUUUAUAAGUGAUUUAAAUUAAAUAAUUAUUUAUAUUCAAGGAUAAUGAGUAGUCAUAAAUGUUUAUAAAUUAAAGAUAAUUAAAUAUAAUGUUAAUAUGAGUAUUAUUGUAAAUUAUAAGUUUUAUUUAUUUUAAUUGAGAGUUGAAAUAUAAUGUGUUAAUGUAAUAUAAAAUAAAAUAAAGGAAUUAGGCAAAUAUUAAUCUCGCCUGUUUAUCAAAAACAUCUCUCUUUGUUAUAUAUAUAUAAAGAGUUGGGCCUGCUCGGUGAAUAUAUAAUUUAACAGCUGCGGUAUUUUAACUGUACUAAGGUAGCAUAAUAGUUUGCCUUAUAAUUUGAGGCUGGAAUGAAUGGUUUGACGAAGGUUAAUCUGUCUCUAUUUUAUUUAUUAGAAAUUAAUUUUUAAAGUGAAAAGGCUUGGAUUUUUUAAAGGGACGAGAAGACCCUAUUGAGCUUGUAAUUUUAUGUUUAUUAUUAUAUUAAGAUAGUAAAUUAUAAAUUUUAAUUGGGGUGAUUAAGGAAUAAAUAGGUUAAUUUAAGGUAACUUCCUUAAUAUUAAAUAGAUAGGUGUAUUAAAUAACCAAUAUUUAUAUUGCUUAUAUUAAAGUUACCAUAGGGAUAACAGCGUAAUUUAUUUAGAGAGUUCUUAUUAAAAAAUAAGAUUGCGACCUCGAUGUUGGAUUAAAGUAACCUUAAGGUGUAGAAGCUUUAUAGGUAAAUCUGUUCGAUUUUUAAAACUUUACAUGAUCUGAGUUCAGACCGGCGUAAGCCAGGUUGGUUUCUAUCUUUUAAGAAUGAUUGUAGUUUCUUUUAGUACGAAAGGAUCGAGGA
rnacentral:rRNA from 1 species